GCCAGGUGCAGUGGCACACUCCUGUAAUCCCAGCGGCUCAGGAGGCUGAGGCAGGAGGAUCAUUGGUUCAAAGCCAGCCUCAGCAAAAAGUGAGGUGCUAAGCAACUCAGUGAGACCCUGUCUCCA
rnacentral:sRNA from 1 species